rnacentral:rRNA from 1 species
CGGCGGGCGGCGUGCUAUACAUGCAAGUCGAGCGGACAGAAGGGAGCUUGCUCCCGGAUGUUAGCGGCGGACGGGUGAGUAACACGUGGGUAACCUGCCUGUAAGACUGGGAUAACUCCGGGAAACCGGAGCUAAUACCGGAUAGUUCCUUGAACCGCAUGGUUCAAGGAUGAAAGACGGUUUCGGCUGUCACUUACAGAUGGACCCGCGGCGCAUUAGCUAGUUGGUGGGGUAAUGGCUCACCAAGGCGACGAUGCGUAGCCGACCUGAGAGGGUGAUCGGCCACACUGGGACUGAGACACGGCCCAGACUCCUACGGGAGGCAGCAGUAGGGAAUCUUCCGCAAUGGACGAAAGUCUGACGGAGCAACGCCGCGUGAGUGAUGAAGGUUUUCGGAUCGUAAAGCUCUGUUGUUAGGGAAGAACAAGUGCGAGAGUAACUGCUCGCACCUUGACGGUACCUAACCAGAAAGCCACGGCUAACUACGUGCCAGCAGCCGCGGUAAUACGUAGGUGGCAAGCGUUGUCCGGAAUUAUUGGGCGUAAAGGGCUCGCAGGCGGUUUCUUAAGUCUGAUGUGAAAGCCCCCGGCUCAACCGGGGAGGGUCAUUGGAAACUGGGAAACUUGAGUGCAGAAGAGGAGAGUGGAAUUCCACGUGUAGCGGUGAAAUGCGUAGAGAUGUGGAGGAACACCAGUGGCGAAGGCGACUCUCUGGUCUGUAACUGACGCUGAGGAGCGAAAGCGUGGGGAGCGAACAGGAUUAGAUACCCUGGUAGUCCACGCCGUAAACGAUGAGUGCUAAGUGUUAGGGGGUUUCCGCCCCUUAGUGCUGCAGCUAACGCAUUAAGCACUCCGCCUGGGGGAGUACGGUCGCAAGACUGAAACUCAAAGGAAUUGACGGGGCCCGCACAAGCGGUGGGGCAUGUGGUUUAA